GCGCGAGUGGCUCAGCGGUGGAGCACCACCUUGCCAAGGUGGGGGUCGCGGGUUCGAUCCCCGUCUCGCGCU
rnacentral:tRNA from 2 species